rnacentral:misc_RNA from 1 species
GAUGAAGAACGUAGUGAAAUGCGAUAAGUAGUGUGAAUUGCAGAAUUCAGUGAAUCAUCGAAUCUUUGAACGCACAUUGCGCCCUUUGGUAUUCCUUAGGGCAUGCCUGUUCGAGCGUCAUUUAAACCUUCAAGCUCAGCUUGGUGUUGGGUGACUGUCCGCUUCACCGCGGACUCGCCUCAAAAUUAUUGGCGGCCGGUACAUUGGCUUCGAGCGCAGCAGUAACGCGAACUCGGGCCCGUCGUAUUGGCUCCCAGAAGCUAUCUUCACAAUUUUGACCUCGGAUCAGGUAGGGAUACCCGCUGAACUUAAGCAUAUCAAUAAGCGGAGGA